CGGCCAUAUCCGAAUUGUCAAGUACAUACUCAAUCUUUCAGUAGGCAGUAGUCAGUAUGCAGUACGUACUAUCCGUGCUGUAUACUGUUAGUAUCUACUAUUCAGUAGGCACACACAGUAGGCAGAUAUUUGUGCCUACUUCUUCUGAUUCAUUCAGUAUGGAAGUGAUGUCAUUUACGUUUCCCGAACCGGCCGCAUUCACCCGUUUUUUUUUGUUUUUAAUGCGCAUAUACAGUCAGGUAAACAAAAAACAAUAUCACAAUGUAAAUCAAGUAAAA